rnacentral:rRNA from 1 species
GCAGUAGCAAUACUGAGUGGCAAACGGGUGAGUAUAAUGUGGGAAUCUGCCUUUUGGUUUGGAAUAACACGGGGAAACUUGUGCUAAUACCGAAUAAGCCCUUACGGGGAAAGUUUUAACGCCGAAAGAUGAGCCUGCACUUGAUUAGCUAGUUGGUAAGGUAAAAGCUUACCAAGGCAACGAUCAAUAGCUGUUCUUAGAGGAAGACCAGCCACAUUGGGACUGAGACACGGCCCAGACUCCUACGGGAGGCAGCAGUGGGGAAUCUUGCACAAUGGGGGAAACCCUGAUGCAGCGAUGCCGCGUGAGUGAAGAAGGCCCUUGGGUUGUAAAACUCUUUCGUCGGGGAAGAAAAUGACAGUACCCGAAUAAGAAGGUCAGGCUGACUUCGUGCCAGCAGCCGCGGUAAUACGAAGGGACCUAGCGUAGUUCGGAAUUACUGGGCUUAAAGAGCUCGUAGGUGGUUAAAAAAGUUGAUGGUGAAAUCCCAAGGCUCAACCUUGGAACUGCCAUCAAAACUUUUUAGCUAGAGUGUGAUAGAGGUAAGUGGAAUUUCUAGUGUAGAGGUGAAAUUCGUAGAUAUUAGAAAGAACACCAAAUGCGAAGGCAACUUACUGGGUCACUACUGACACUGAGGAGCGAAAGCAUGGGUAGCGAAGAGGAUUAGAUA